rnacentral:tRNA from 1 species
GGAUAUAGCUCAGUUGGUAGAGUGCUUGCUUUGCACACACAAAGCCCUGGGUUCAGUCCCCAGAAUCCA